UUAAUGGAGAGUUUGAUCCUGGCUCAGGACGAACGCUGGCGGCGUGCCUAACACAUGCAAGUCGAGCGGGCCGGUUUGGCGGGGGAGACUUCGCCGGGCCGGUUGAGCGGCGGACGGGUGAGUAACGCGUGGAUAACCUACCCACGAGACCGGGAUAACACCGGGAAACUGGUGCUAAUACCGGGUACGCUGCUUCUGGGGCCUCCUGGGGGCAGGAAAGGUGGCCUCUGUUUUACAAGCUACCGCUCGUGGAUGGGUCCGCGUCCUAUCAGCUUGUUGGUGGGGUAACGGCCCACCAAGGCGACGACGGGUAGCCGGCCUGAGAGGGUGACCGGCCACACUGGGACUGAGACACGGCCCAGACUCCUACGGGAGGCAGCAGUGGGGAAUCUUCCGCAAUGGGCGCAAGCCUGACGGAGCGACGCCGCGUGGGGGACGAAGGCCUUUGGGUUGUAAACCCCUGUCAGGAGGGAAGAAGUCCCGUAGGCGAAGAGCCUGCGGGGUGACGGUACCUUCAGAGGAAGCCCCGGCUAACUACGUGCCAGCAGCCGCGGUAAGACGUAGGGGGCGAGCGUUGUCCGGAAUUACUGGGCGUAAAGGGCGCGUAGGCGGUGGGGCAAGUCCAAGGUGAAAGCCGGCGGCUCAACCGCAGGAUGGCCUUGGAUACUGUCUUACUCAGAGGGCAGGAGAGGGAAGUGGAAUUCCCGGUGUAGCGGUGAAAUGCGUAGAGAUCGGGAGGAACACCAGUGGCGAAGGCGGCUUCCUGGCCUGGCCCUGACGCUGAGGCGCGAAAGCUAGGGGAGCAAACAGGAUUAGAUACCCUGGUAGUCCUAGCCGUAAACGAUGGGCACUAGGUGUGGGAGGUAUCGACCCCUUCCGUGCCGUAGGUAACCCAAUAAGUGCC
rnacentral:rRNA from 1 species